GACGAACGCUGGCGGCGUGCUUAACACAUGCAAGUCGAACGGAAAGGCCCGGUUUUUUGGGGUGGUCGGGUGGCGAAAGGGGGGGGAAAAACUGGGUAAACUGCCCCUGACCUUGGGGUUAAUUCAGGGAAAUGGGGGUAAUAACGGGAAAGAAGAUCUUGUGCCUGGUGGGGGUUGGGAAGUUUCGGGGGUUGGGGAUGGACUGGCGGGUUAUCAGGUUGUUUGAGGGGGUGGGGCUUGCCAAGGCUUUGGAGGGUAGCCGGCCUUAGAGGGUGAACGGGCACAAUGGGACUGAGGUAGGGACCAGACGCCUACGGGAGGCAGCAGUGGGGAAUAUUGCACAAUGGGCGGAAGCCUGAUGCAGCGACGCCGCGUGCGGGAUGACGGCCUUCGGGUUGUAAACCGCUUUCGCCUGUGACGAAGCGUGAGUGACGGUAAUGGGUAAAGAAGCACCGGCUAACUACGUG
rnacentral:rRNA from 1 species